rnacentral:tRNA from 1 species
UGUCUCGUUGGUGUAGUUGGUUAUCACGUCGGUCUCAUAAUAUGAUCGCGCCUGGCGCGAAUAGUUGAUAUCUGGAGGUCGCCAGUUCGAUCCUGGCACGGGACA